UACGAAGGGGGCUAGCGUUGCUCGGAAUUACUGGGCGUAAAGGGCGCGUAGGCGGCACUGUUAGUCAGGCGUGAAAGUCCUGGGCUCAACCUGGGAACUGCGCUUGAUACGGCAGAGCUAGAGGAUGGAAGAGGCUCGCGGAAUUCCCAGUGUAGAGGUGAAAUUCGUAGAUAUUGGGAAGAACACCGGGUGGCGAAGGCGGCGAGCUGGUCCAUUACUGACGCUGAGGCGCGACAGCGUGGGGAGCAACAGG
rnacentral:rRNA from 1 species